UCGGAGAAUUUUGUUUUAAUAUUUUUCAUGCAUUCAAUUAAAGCCCAUCACGUGAUAAGAGUGUUAUUACGAGCAUCUUACAUAAUAAAACAAUGAAAACAGAGGUGUGGCGGGCGUUCCAUUUAUAUGGGCAUGAGUCGAGGCGCCAGAGCAUUUCGCUUGAUAUUAGAACUAGAAGUAGAGGCAAGGUGCCCGCAAAGAGAAACAAAUGACAGGAGGGGAG
rnacentral:lncRNA from 1 species